UCCGACGUGGUGUAGUGGCUAACAUUAUCGCCUCUCAUGUUAUCAGGAAGUGUGACUAAAGCGCGAUAGCCCGGGGUUCGAUUCCCCGCGUCGGAA